rnacentral:rRNA from 1 species
GACAGAGGGUGCAACCGUUGUUCGGAAUUACUGGGCGUAAAGCGCGUGUAGGCUGCUCAGCAAGUUGGAUGUGAAAGCCCUGGGCUUAACCUAGGAAGUGCAUUCAAAACUACUGAGCUGGAGUCCUGGAGAGGAAGGCGGAAUUCUCGGUGUAGAGGUGAAAUUCGUAGAUAUCGAGAGGAACACCGGUGGCGAAGGCGGCCUUCUGGACAGUGACUGACGCUGAGACGCGAAAGCGUGGGGAGCAAACAGG